AGGGCAUACGGUGGAUGCCUUGGCGUCAGAAGGCGAUGAAAGACGUGGUAAGCUGCGAUAAGCUUCGGGGAGUCGCUAAACAGACUUAGAUCCGGAGAUUUCUGAAUGGGGAAACCCGGCUGGGGUAAUGCUCAGUCAUCUAUUACUGAAUACAUAGGUAAUAGAAGCGAACGGAGGGAACUGAAACAUCUUAGUACCUCUAGGAAGAGAAAACAAAAGUGAUUUUCCUAGUAGCGGCGAGCGAACGGGAAACAGCCUAAACCUGAUAUGCGUGAUAGCCCACAGGUGUUGCAUAUUUGGUGUUGCGGGAUCUUAUCUGAGAAUUCUGUGGAGUUCUCGAGGAGUUACAAAGCUGAUUUAUAACUGAACAAUGUGGAAACAUUGGCCAAAGAAGGUGAUAGCCCUGUAAGUGAAAUAAGUCAGUCUCCUUGGAUAGGACACCCAAGUACUACGGGACACGAGAAACCCUGUAGGAAUCUAGGAGGACCAUCUCCUAAGGCUAAAUACUAACUGACGACCGAUAGUGAACUAGUACCGUGAGGGAAAGGUGAAAAGUACCCCUUUUAGGGGAGUGAAAUAGUACCUGAAACCGUGUGCCUACAAGGUGUAGGAGCUCUAUUUAUUAAUGCUUGCAUUUUUAAAGAGUGACUGCGUGCCUUUUGCAUAAUGAGUCCGCGAGUUACUAAGUGUAGCAAGGUUAAGCCGUUAGGUGUAGCCGUAGCGAAAGCGAGUCUUAACUGGGCGUUUAGUUGCACUGAGUAGACCCGAAACCGGGUGAUCUACCCAUGGCCAGGGUAAAGUUCUGGUAAAACGGAAUGGAGGCCCGAACCAUUGUCGGUUGAAAACGGCUUGGAUGAGCUGUGGGUAGGAGUGAAAGGCUAAUCAAACUCGGAAAUAGCUGGUUCUCCCCGAAAUAUAUUUAGGUAUAGCCUUGCAUGUUGAGAUAUGGAGGUAGAGCACUGGAUGGGCUAGGGGUCUCUACAAGAUUACCAAACCCAACCAAACUUCGAAUGCCGUAUUCUUUAGUGCAGGAGUCAGACUGCGGGAGAUAAGUUCCGUGGUCGAGAGGGAAACAGCCCAGAUCACCAGCUAAGGUCCCAAAUAUUUGCUAAGUGGGAAAGGAAGUGAAAACGCACAAACAGCCAGGAGGUUGGCUUAGAAGCAGCCACCCUUUAAAGAAAGCGUAACAGCUCACUGGUCGAGUGUUCUUGCGCCGAAAAUGUAACGGGGCUCAAGCAAAUAACCGAAGCUGUGACUUUGUUCUUUUCUUCGGAUCAGAAUAAGGGGUAGGGGAGCGUUCCAGAUCCUGUGAAGCUAGACCGGAAGGACUAGUGGAGGUACUGGAAGUGAUUAUGCGGACAUGAGUAGCGAAAAUGCAGGUGAAAAACCUGCACGCCGAAAGCCCAAGGUUUCCUGGGGAAGGUUAAUCCGCCCAGGGUUAGUCAGUGCCUAAGACGAGGCCGAAAGGCGUAGUCGAUGGAAAACAGGUUAAUAUUCCUGUACCAGUAUAUAGGUGCUUGAGUGAAGGGGUGACGUAGAAGGGUAGACCAUCCGGGUGUUGGAUGUCCCGGUUUAAGCCCGUAGGUGGGGAAGAUAGGCAAAUCCGUCUUCCUAUUUAAACACCGAGAGGUGAUGAGGAGUCGCUUGCGACAUAAACUGGUUAAUCCCAUGCUACCAAGAAAAACCUCGUAGCGAAUCUAUAUGUUGACUGUACCGUAAACCGACACAGGUAGGCAAGGAGAGAAUCCUAAGGCGCUUGAGAGAACUCUUGUUAAGGAACUCUGCAAACUAGCCCCGUAACUUCGGGAUAAGGGGUGCCUCAUUAGCGUGAAGCGAUUUACUCGUUUAGCGUGAAGGGGUCGCAGUGAAAAGGCGGGAGCGACUGUUUACUAAAAACAUAGGUCUAUGCUAAGUCGUAAGACGAUGUAUAUGGACUGACGCCUGCCCGGUGCUGGAAGGUUAAGGGGAAGUGUUAUUCUUCGGAAGAAGCUCUGAACCGAAGCCCCAGUAAACGGCGGCCGUAACUAUAACGGUCCUAAGGUAGCGAAAUUCCUUGUCGGGUAAGUUCCGACCUGCACGAAUGGCGCAACGAUUUCCGCGCUGUCUCAACGAGAGACUCAGCGAAAUUACAGAAGCGGUGAAGAUGCCGUUUACCCGCGGUUAGACGGAAAGACCCCGUGAACCUUUACUGCAGCUUGACAGUGAAUUUUGAAAUAAUCUGUGUAGGAUAGGUGGGAGACUUUGAAAUGUGGACGCCAGUUUGCAUGGAGUCGCCCUUGAAAUACCACCCUGGUUAUUUUGAGGUUCUAACCUAGACCCGUUAUCCGGGUCGGGGACACUGUCUGGUGGGUAGUUUGACUGGGGCGGUCGCCUCCCAAAAUGUAACGGAGGCGCACGAAGGUUCCCUCAGGCUGAUUGGAAACCAGCCGUAGAGUGUAAAGGCAUAAGGGAGCUUGACUGCGAGAGAGACAUCUCGAGCAGGUACGAAAGUAGGUCUUAGUGAUCCGGCGGUUCCGUAUGGAAGGGCCGUCGCUCAACGGAUAAAAGGUACUCCGGGGAUAACAGGCUUAUGCCCCCCAAGAGUUCAUAUCGACGGGGGUGUUUGGCACCUCGAUGUCGGCUCAUCGCAUCCUGGGGCUGAACAAGGUCCCAAGGGUUUGGCUGUUCGCCAAUUAAAGCGGUACGUGAGCUGGGUUUAGAACGUCGUGAGACAGUUCGGUCCCUAUCUGCCGUGGGCGUAGGAUAUUUGAGAGAAGCUGUCCCUAGUACGAGAGGACCGGGAUGGACGAACCUCUGGUGUUCCAGUUGUUUCGCCAGAAGCAUUGCUGGGUAGCUAAGUUCGGUAUGGAUAACCACUGAAAGCAUCUAAGUGGGAAGCCAGGCUCAAGAUUAGAUAUCCCUUCU
rnacentral:rRNA from 1 species